rnacentral:lncRNA from 1 species
GUUGUGUUACUUUUGUAAGUAAAUCCAGUGAAAAGUCGACUACGGUUAUUUAUAGAUAUAAGAAGAUGUGGUAUGAAUUUAAAAGAGUUUAUAAUAUGUAAAAAUGUGAGACAAGAUGGCUGUAUCUGGGUUUCAAUAAGAAGAACACAUCCGCGGUCAAUCAAUUCAUAAUCGAGUUUGUAAAGCGUUCAAAAGGAAUGAUUUUAACUUGGUACCUUUUACGCAAUAGCUUAAUUGAAAGCAGUAAUGAAUACAAUGCGAGAAGCGCAAGAUCAUUUAGACACGCUGCUGGAAUGUUACUACAUAAAAAUGUAAAAGAGGGUCGAAAAGACACUGACAACGUCAUGGCUAAAACAGAAAAAGAUACAGAGCCAAACAAAAGUACACAAAACACAACAUAGGUAACUAAAGACUGAACAAGACGAUCCCUUUAACUACAGCCACAUUCUUAAAUUCAUUUUCAGUAAUGCUAAAAAUAUUUGAAACAUG